rnacentral:rRNA from 1 species
GACGUAGGGCGCGAGCGUUGUCCGGAAUUAUUGGGCGUAAAGAGCUCGUAGGCGGUUUGUCGCGUCUGCUGUGAAAACUGGAGGCUCAACCUCCAGCCUGCAGUGGGUACGGGCAAACUAGAGUGCGGUAGGGGAGAUUGGAAUUCCUGGUGUAGCGGUGAAUGCGCAGAUAUCAGGAGGAACACCGAUGGCGAAGGCAGGUCUCUAGGCCACUACUGACGCUGAGAAGCGAAAGCAUGGGGAGCGAACAGG